GACAGAGGGUGCAAACGUUGUUCGGAAUUACUGGGCGUAAAGCGCGUGUAGGCGGCUAUGUAAGUCGGGCGUGAAAUCCCACGGCUCAACCCGUGGAAGUGCACCCGAAACUGCGUAGCCUAGAGUCCUGGAGAGGAAGGUGGAAUGCUUGGUGUAGAGGUGAAAUUCGUAGAUAUCAAGCGGAACACCGGUGGCGAAGGCGGCCUUCUGGACGAGUGACUGACGGCUGAGACGCGAAAAGCGUGGGGAGCAACAGGAUUAAGAUACCCCCGGGUA
rnacentral:rRNA from 1 species